GAGGGAACUGCUAUUAUUUUUGAAGCAACGUGAUAUAUUGAACAGAAUUAUAGUUUUCUUUUCAAUAUGUACCUAAAAACAACUUCCUAGAGGAUAUUAAAUUCUGCACAGCAGAAAAACAGUCGAACGUGACCUGCCUAGAGCCACAUAGCUGCAUUCGAUCAUACGUUCCCUUCGAGUUAUCAAGAAUCUAUGUGAAUGGGUGUGUAUAAAAGGAAAAGGGAUACACGGUAUCAUUGUGCCAAUAGAGAAAUGAACUGUCAGAUAAGAGGACGGGGACGAUUAUAGAGACAGAUAAGCCGACGGAUAGCCAUGGUACACGGGGGCAGCUUUCAUUUUAUGAUCCCUCGUACGCGUUCGUUCCGGUUCGAAAGAAAAAUAAAACUAAAUCGACUAGAAGGAUGCACGAUGGAUUGAUAAAUUAUUGACACUGCCUUUGAACUUUAUAAUCAGUUCAUUGAGUAGAAGGGCGCAUAGAAAGGAAUUCAGUAAUUUCGUUAUCUGAUGCCAUAAAGGACCAUUUCCUGACGAAACAAUUUCUAAACAAAGAGUGCCGUAUAAAUAGCGAAUAUAAAAAUUAAAUUUUUGAGGUUAUGACUUAUUAAAAAUUCAACGAAAGCUUUGUCUUAAAAAGUAAAUUAGAUAUCGGCCAUUGAAAGACACUUUUAUCGCGAAGAGAAAUGACUUUGGUAUUAACAGAAGCUUAUCAGGGAAAAUUGAACGUAAAUUUGUAAUAACAUUAAGGAUGAACGAAGAAGUAAUAACUUUCAUGGAGUUAAUUAAAGGUAAAUGGAAUAACAGUGUCUGAAAGUAUAGGAGAAGCUUCACAAUGAAAAUACAGUUGGGUUCACGAAAGCAGAAACUGGCGGAAGUUAAACUUGAUCAAAGAAAGUGUUUCCAGAUUUCAGUCAAAGGAUGUGAUAUAUUUUUAUCACGGACUUCAUUCGAAAUAAGAUCUGUACUUUAUCUGAAAGCUUCGACAUAAUUCGUAUUUUACGGCUGAAAAAGUUGCCAGCUUGCUGAGAAGUUGUUGCAUAAAUUCAUAGCGUGCGGAAAAUACGUUCAAUUUUCGCGGAAAUCGAGGGAAAUCUUAGAAACGUUAGAUGAAAAUCGAUUUUAAGUUUCUCUCGGAUUAUUUGGUGGCUUUAAUUUUUUAAAUUUGAAAAUUGAACAAGUAUUAUUAUCACCAAUUAAAACAAUUUUUUAAUGAAAAGUUGUAGA